GAUGAACGCUGGCGGCGUGCCUAAUACAUGCAAGUCGAGCGAACAGAUAAGGAGCUUGCUCCUUUGACGUUAGCGGCGGACGGGUGAGUAACACGUGGGUAACCUACCUAUAAGACUGGAAUAACUCCGGGAAACCGGGGCUAAUGCCGGAUAAUAUUUAGAACCGCAUGGUUCUAAAGUGAAAGAUGGUUUUACUAUCACUUAUAGAUGGACCCGCGCCGUAUUAGCUAGUUGGUGGGGUAAUGGCUUACCAAGGCAACGAUACGUAGCCGACCUGAGAGGGUGAUCGGCCACACUGGAACUGAGACACGGUCCAGACUCCUACGGGAGGCAGCAGUAGGGAAUCUUCCGCAAUGGGCGAAAGCCUGACGGAGCAACGCCGCGUGAGUGAUGAAGGUCUUCGGAUCGUAAAACUCUGUUAUUAGGGAAGGACAAAUGUGUAAGUAACUGUGCACGUCUUGACGGUACCUAAUCAGAAAGCCACGGCUAACUACGUGCCAGCAGCCGCCGCUGUAA
rnacentral:rRNA from 1 species